rnacentral:lncRNA from 14 species
CUGCAUCAUCCCUUGGGGUGCCCCCCCCAUGCCUGGGUGCCCCCCAGCACUCCCUGGGUCCUAAUGCCCCCAUUCUCAGCACUGCUGGGUCCUAAAGCCCCACUCCCAUCAGUCAACUGCCCCUUGGCUCCCCAGCACCUUGUGUGCAUCCCUGGGUGCCCCUCACCUGGUACUGCCAGCACCUUAGGGUGACACCCGGGGUUAAACCAGCACCCAAUGGGUGUCCGCGGUGCCGCAGGGCCGCGGGAAGCACCGUAAGUCCACAGUGCCCUGGCAGCGCUACGUGGAGGAGGUGGCGGCAGUGGUGGCACAGGGAGAGCUCUAUGGCAUCCACCCAUUGGAGGAGGUAAGUGUGAGUGGUGGCACCCAAAAACCAUUGGGGACCCCCAUUGGAGGAGGUAACCAUGGAGUGGUGGCACUCAGAAGCCAUUGGGGACCCUCAUUGGAGAAGGGACCCAUGGGGUGGUGGCCCCCAGGAGCCAUUGGGUGCCCAUUGCCCCCAUCCUUGUCCCUGCAGCACAGGCGGAUGCUGGAGGCGCUGAGGAAGGAGGUGGAGGUGAAGCAGGAACAGGUGCGGGUGCUGGAGCUGCGCGUGGCCGAGCUGGAAGCACAGCUCCAGGGCAUGGAGCCGGAGCGGGAGCAGCAGCGGGAGCAGCUCCAGAGGCUCCAGAAUCAGCUGGAGGAGGCCAAUGCCCGAGCAGCCACUUUGGGAGCAAGGUUGACAGCGGCUGAAGGCAACAGGAAGAAAGACCUGGAGAGGCUGAAGAGCAGCGAGGAGAAGAGUCGGGAGCUGGUGAGCUGGACGUGGGGCACCCAUGGGUGACAAAGGGUGACAAUGGGUGACAGUAGGUGACAGUGGGUGACCAAGGGUCACAAUGGAUGACAAGGGGUGACCAAGGGUUACAAUGGGUGACAAAGGUGGCAAUGGGUGACAAUGGGUGACCAAGGGUUACAAUGGAUGACAGUGGGUGGCAAUGGGUGGAAUUGGGUGACAUGGCUGUCAAAGGAUGACAAUGGGUGGCAAUGGGUGGUAAUGGUGAUAAUGGGUGACAAUGGGUGUCAGUGGUGACAAUGGGUGACAAUGGGUGACAGUGCCCAGCAAUGGGUGACAGUGGGUGGCAAACAGUGAUGGAGGAUCAUAAU